AUAGACGUCAUUGCUAGAAUCUGCUGAAGUUUACCGAGUGGCUUACCUCAUUGAAGAGCGCUUUGGUUGCCAAGGAACUGAGUUCACCUUUGACCGUGUUGUCAACAACUACUGACAAAGAUGGCGGAAAAAUCAACAGCAUUAUGAAGAUUUAAACUAAUUUUAGCUGAUUUUAGAAAUCAAGGAUGGGAACUCAAGACUGUUAUUUUUAUCAGCAAACCCGCUUUCGCGAGACACCAAAGCGUUUUCGUAAACUUCCUGAGGAAUUACCUGAAAGUCUGAAGUUUGCGCAUCUUAAUCCAAAGCUUGCCGCAUUAAUGGCUAACAAAGAAAAACAAAAACAAGAUGAAAUGAUGGACGUACUAGGUAAAAGAAGUAUUAUGUCUGAAAUAAAUACCACAUUUCAAAACAUUAUACUUUCAAAUGAUGAAGAUUCACAAAGAUAUUUAUUUGAAGAAGCAAAAUUUACAGCUGGCAAUACAUUAGAACAAUUAGCAAGUUUCAUUUAUCGUUACAAGAAUAUUGUAAAAAUUAUUCCUAAAAGUUUAGAAUAUCAAAUGUUAUCUAGUUACCAAGAAUUAAUUGCAGAUAUAGUUUAUGUGACUCGUGAAUGGCAAACUUUGUCUAUGAAAGAACCCCUUUCCAAAUGCAGUGACAAUAAUAGUGAGGAAGACAAGACAGUUAUUGAUGAAGAUUUUCGAAUUGCAAGACCGUCAUCAGAACUUGGCAAAUAUAAGAAAAAACUUACAACAAAAGUAGGAUUGCCAGAAAUAACUGAAGAGCACAAAACGGAUAAAACAAGACAGCCGGUGAUACCAUCUAAUAGACGCAGUGACAGUAAAAAUUCUAUGAUGGUAUCUCGGGCUAAAAAUCGAUUAGAAAGAGGCAAAUCAACUAUACUUUAUGACAAAUUAACAACAGGUGGUUCUUCAGUACGAUCUCCUGAUUUGAAAAAAGGUGCAUUAUAUGAAGGGGAUAAAUGGUCAACUCAUGGAGGAUCACCCUUGGAAACAAAAUGUAAGAAAAGAUAGGUAUAAAGUUAUUAAUAUUAGCCCAGUAAAUCUAGAUUUUUACCUGGAAUAAAUUUGCAGAAAGCUAGAUUCAACUGGUGUUUUUAUUUAGGGUACUUGUUUAUCAAAAUAACAAAAGUCUUCCAAAAUCGGAUUUGUGGGUCUAUGGGAAAAUUGAUAAUCAAUCCAAGAUGGCGGACGACGGCGUGAAAUGGCGUAAAAUGCCAAAUAUCUCCAAAAGGAAGCGUUUUAGACCAUAUAAAUGUUAAUAUAAAAGUGAUAUCAUUGAAUCAUGUGAUGGGGUCAAAUUGUUGCUAUGACAUCAUAAUCAAUAUCUAGUCAGAAAACGAACAAAUUAAAUAGAAAGUGACGUCAUAAUGCAAUUUUGAGUCGGAAAAUAAAAAAAUUAAAUAGAAAUGCCUUUGAAAUAAAGUGGGAAUAAAUGUCGGUACUUUCGCACUGUAUGCAUGAAGUAUUGAGAAAAUCGAUCACCAAUCCAAAAUGGCGGGAAAUGGCUAACAAUGGCAAAUAUCUCUGAAAGGAAGCGUUUUAGACCAUAUAAAUGUAUUAAA